rnacentral:lncRNA from 10 species
CAAAGUCCUGGGAUUACAGGUGUGAGCCACCGUGCCCGGCCUAUUUUCUUUUUUUUCUUUUUGUUUUUUAAUGUAGAUUGAGGUUUCAGUCUGAUAUUUUUAUGGACUGAAUGUUCGUGUCCCAUGAAGUUCAUAUGUUGAAGCCUUAACCCCCAAUGUGAUAAUAUUUGGAGAUGGGGUCUUUGGGAGGUAAUCAGAUCAUGAGGGUGGGGCCCUGGUCUGGUAAGAUUGCUGUCUUAUAAAAAGAGACCCCAGAGAGUCUGCUUUCUUCUCUUUACCAUGUGAGGACACAGCAAGAAGGCAGCCGUCUGCAAGCCAGGGAGAUGGACCUCUCCAGAUCCAGAACAUGCCGGCAUCCUCAUCACAAACUUCUAACCUCCAGAACGAUCCUCUUCUUCCUAUAGAAUACUUCUGGUGACAAAAGAACCUAUCACUCUUCUCUGGGAUUGAGAUCUUGUGGAAAUCCUCUUCCUUAUGCUUUGAAGAAGCAAGCUGCCAGGUUAUGAGCUGCCUCAUGGAAAGGGCCACGUGGCAGGAGCUGAAAGUAGACAACAGUCAAAAAGAGACUGAGGCCCUCAGUCUGGCAGCCUGCAAGAAACUGAAUGCUGCCAACAGUCAUGUGCUUGGAAGCUGAUCCUUCCCCAGUUGUGCCUCAGAUGAGAGCCCGGUUCUGGCCCACACCUUGAUUAUAGCCUAGCAGAGGACCUAGCUCAGCCAUGGCUGGACUUCUGACCCAGAAAACCAUGAAAUAAUAAAGUAUGUUGUUUUAAGUUGCUAAAUUUGUGGUAAUAUUAUUAUGGAGCAAUAAAUAACUAAUAUAGAUACUAUCUACUGUAUAUGAUUGUUGUGAGAAUUAAAUGAAAUAAUGCAUGUAAAGGCUUAGUACUGUCUUUGGCACACAAUAGAUACUCAACAGUUAACAGGUUCAUGCCCUGACUUCCACCCUCUGCCUUCCAGUUUUCACUGAUCGAGCAAUAGUUGAAUCCCUGUAGCACUUACCAGUGUUGGAAGAGACAUUUAAGUAUAUUUAGUCUCAUCUUGCAGCUGGUAUUUACAUUCUUCUACUAAUUUACUUUCUGUCUAGUCUUUGCUAAAAUAGCUCCAGUGACAUGCAGCUCAUUCUUGAGGCUUCCCUUUUUACAAAAGUAAUGGCUCUGGCAUCCUUUGCUAAUCAGGACAUAGUCUCUCUGAGGCCCACAAGAUCAGCAGACUUGCAUCAUGAUCAUUUGAAACCGCAGCCCUUUUCAAACAUAUCUGCUGGAGCGUUAUUACAAAAGACUAUAUUUAAAUAGCCAAUGAGCAUAUAAAAAGGUGUUCAUAAGCAUUCCACCAGCUUCCACCCACACCCUGAAGGCCCAAUGCCAUAUUAACCACUUGCCCAAGGAAAGGGCUCUUUUCCUCAAGGAAGACUGCUCUCUUCUUCAGAAUCUAGUGUCAAUUUCCUCCCUGGUUUUCAGAGCAUGCUAGAUAGGGGAAAUUUCACUUCCCUGCCACCCACAUGGAAAUGAUAUUUCUCUUUGAUAGGGAUAAUUAAGAUUUUCUCAGUCUUGUAAAAAAUGUAAACAAAAGCAUCUUAAACAUUAAAAAAGAUGUUCAGUAUCACUAGUCAUUAGAAAAAUGCAAAUUAAAACCACAAUACUUCACCAGUAUAGCUACAUUAAAAGACUAACAAUACCAAAUUCUUGGCAAGUAUGUGGGGAAUGUGAAACUCCAUCUCUGGCAGGUGUGCAGUUUGGCACAACUACUUGGAAAACUUGGCAGUAUGUGCCAAAGCUAAACAUUUACCUAUUUAGCAGUUCCACUCCUGGGUGGAUGCCUAACAGAAAUGUGUGCUUAUGUCUGCCAAAAGAUAUAUACAAGAAUGUUUAUAGCAGCUUUAUUCAUAGUAGUUCAAAUGGGAAAAUAACCCCAAAUGUCCAUCAAAGGAGAAUGGGUAAAUAAACCAUUGUGGAUAUUUGCACAAUGGAAUACUACACUGCAAUAAAAAAUACUAAUUGCAACAUGGAUGAAUCUCUCAGACAUAAUGUUGAGUGAAAGAAGCUAGACAUUAAACAGUAAAAUACUCAGUGACCUUAUGUAUAUGAAGUUCAACAAUAGGCACAACUAAUCUGCUGUGGUAGAUGUUAAAAUGAUGGUUAUUUGGGGGGCAAUAUUGCUUGCAAGAACAUUCAAGAGUGCUGGGAAUUUCUAAGUCUUGAUCGAUGUAGUCGGUUACAUGGGUAUACACUAUGUAAGUGAAAAAAUGUAUUGAGAAAUACUGAUAAAAUGUGUGGACUUUACAG